UACGUAGGGUGCGAGCGUUGUCCGGAAUUAUUGGGCGUAAAGAGCUUGUAGGCGGUUUGUCGCGUCUGCCGUGAAAUUUCGGGCUCAACCCCGAACUUGCGGUGGGUACGGGCAGACUAGAGUGUGGUAGGGAGACUGGAAUUCCUGGUGUAGCGGUGAAAUGCGCAGAUAUCAGGAGGAACACCGAUGGCGAAGGCAGGUCUCUGGGCCACUACUGACGCUGAGAAGCGAAAGCAUGGGAGCGAACAGG
rnacentral:rRNA from 1 species